AUUGAACGCUGGCGGCAUGCUUUACACAUGCAAGUCGAACGGUAACAGGCCGCAAGGUGCUGACGAGUGGCGAACGGGUGAGUAAUGCAUCGGAACGUGCCCAGUCGUGGGGGAUAACUGCUCGAAAGAGCAGCUAAUACCGCAUACGAUCUAUGGAUGAAAGCGGGGGACCGUAAGGCCUCGCGCGAUUGGAGCGGCCGAUGUCAGAUUAGGUAGUUGGUGGGGUAAAGGCUCACCAAGCCAACGAUCUGUAGCUGGUCUGAGAGGACGACCAGCCAGACUGGGAGUGAGACACGGCCCAGACUCCUACGGGGGGCAGCAGUGGGGAAUUUUGGACAAGGGGUGCAACCCUGAUCCAGCAAUGCCGCGUGCAGGAAGAAGGCCUUCGGGUUGUAAACUGCUUUUGUACGGAACGAAACGGUCUGGGUUAAUACCCUGGGCUAAUGACGGUACCGUAAGAAUAAGCACCGGCUAACUACGUGCCAGCCGCCGCGGUAAGAC
rnacentral:rRNA from 1 species